rnacentral:rRNA from 1 species
AUUGAACGCUGGCGGCAGGCCUAACACAUGCAAGUCGAACGGUAACAGGAAGCAGCUUGCUGCUUCGCUGACGAGUGGCGGACGGGUGAGUCAUGUCUGGGAAGCUGCCUGAUGGAGGGGGAUAACUACUGGAAACGGUAGCUAAUACCGCAUAAUGUCGCAAGACCAAAGAGGGGGACCUUCUGGCCUCUUGCCAUCGUAUGUGCCCAGAUGGGAUUAGCUUGUUGGUGGGGUAACGGCUCACCAAGGCGACGAUCCCUAGCUGGUCUGAGAGGAUGACCAGCCACACUGGAACUGAGACACGGUCCAGACUCCUACGGGAGGCAGCAGUGGGGAAUAUUGCACAAUGGGCGCAAGCCUGAUGCAGCCAUGCCGCGUGUAUGAAGAAGGCCUUCGGGUUGUAAAGUACUUUCAGCGGGGAGGAAGGGAGUAAAGUUAAUACCUUUGCUCAUUGACGUUACCCGCAGAAGAAGCACCGGCUAACUCCGUG